rnacentral:rRNA from 1 species
UACGUAGGGGUCCGAGCGUUGUCCGGAAUUAUUGGGCGUAAAGAGCUCGUAGGCGGUUUGUCGCGUCUGCCGUGAAAGUCCGGGGCUCAACUCCGGAUCUGCGGUGGGUACGGGCAGACUAGAGUGAUGUAGGGGAGACUGGAAUUCCUGGUGUAGCGGUGAAAUGCGCAGAUAUCAGGAGGAACACCGAUGGCGAAGGCAGGUCUCUGGGCAUUAACUGACGCUGAGGAGCGAAAGCAUGGGGAGCGAACAGG